UGCGGCUGGAUCACCU
rnacentral:rRNA from 1 species